CUCUUUAAUAUAAAAUACACCUAGGAUAAAAAUGAUAGACCCUUCAUUUCUUUGUAAGUGGGCAAACUUACAAAAUCAGCAGGGGAUCAAAUCAUUAUUUUUGACCAUUGUAUUUUCCCAUAAAAUAAACUAACUAAGUGACCUGUAUCUGUUCGUCCGUAAGCAUUCACCCUAUAUCUGUUUGCAGUAACAGCCAAGCAUGUGAAACUCAUACCUGGGCCUUAGUCCUGAAUCCUGGUAAAAAAAAAAAAAUGCAUAACUAUUUAAUAUAGGUCUGGAUUAUAGCUAACCAGAUAUCAUAAUCAGGUAAACCCUACGCCUGGACCCCAUUGAAAGAAAAGAUAAUUGAAUAACCUAUGCCUAACCCUAGCUAACUGACCUAUAAUUAAAUAUCUAACGUCAACAGUCGUAAACUUAAAAAAAAAAAAACCCUAGGCAAAUCCAUGGCUAGACCUUGGUUGUGAACUCCGGUGAAAACGCUAGGGAACCUUCGUCAGGUCCUACAUCUUAGUCGUAAACUUAAAAAAAAAAACCCUAGGCAAAUCCAUGGCUAGACCUUGGUUGUGAACUCCGGUGAAAACGCUAGGGAACCUUUGUCAGGUCCUACAUCUUAGUCGUAAACUUAAAAAAAAAAAAACCUAGGCAAACCCAUGGCUAGACCUUGGUUGUGAACUCCGGUGAAAACGCUAGGGAACCUUCGUCAGGUCCUACAUCUUAGUCGUAAACUUAAAAAAAAAAACCCUAGGCAAACCCAUGGCUAGACCUUGGUUGUGAACUCCGGUGAAAACGCUAGGGAACCUUCGUCAGGUCCUACAUCUUAGUCGUAAACUUAAAAAAAAAAAACCCUAGGCAAACCCAUGGCCAGACCUUGGUUGUGAACUCCGGUGAAAACGCUAGGGAACCUUCGUCAGGUCCUGGAAUCAUUUCCUUGUAAAUAAAAUUCCUCCUAACAAAGUUAUUAACAGCUCGUAUUUUCAAAUUAUUUUGUAACGGAGAUAAUAGGUUAUUGUAUUUAGGCAUAGAGAUAAAAAAGAUAGUUCUAAGUGUUUUCUUUAACUUAUAAAAAUUACAUUUGCUAAGUCCAGCCUUAUUGUUUUCAUAUUUAUCCUUUCCACCCCAUAUAAUCUUAUUUUUUUUGGGGGGGGGGGGGGGGGGGGACUGUUAGGAAAAUUUUACUGCAUGAAACAAAGCACUGACGGGGUUCAAAAUAUCAUUUAACUUCUCACUGUGCACUUUAGGACCUACAUGAACUCGUAACUGACUGCCUGUCAUAAAAAAAAACAAAAAAACUACUGACUAGUGCACUGAGGCUUUCCGUGGAUACGUAUUUUAAAUUGACGGGCAAAAAAAAGAUAAAAAAAAAUAAAUAAAUCCAGAAUUAAUUUUUUGCUUAUGGCGCAGAUAUGUUUUGGAAGAAUGAAGUCCCUAAGAAAAAAAUUGGAUCUGUACAAGCCGACAUCUUCAAAUUCUGUUUUUUUUUUUAAAGCUUGCAUGUACUUUGCAAAUCAAAAAAAAUAAAUAAAAAAAAAUGUAAAAAGCCCUAGCUUUGUAAAUAGAAUCCACAAAGUUUGUGUAUACGAAGCAGUUAGCGUAAUAACCCAUAGAACAGCUGCACUUCCACGGAAAAAAACAAAAAACCAUAGCGAUAGUUUUAAUUAAUUGUGUAAAUUAUUUAAUUUUUGACAAGUUCUGUUGUAAUUUAUUCCUUUUAAUCCACACAUUUCAUAUUUAUUUAAAGUUUAUUUUAAAUUAUUCAUUUUUUUGUUGUUGUUGCCUAUUUUAACUGGACACCCAUGUCAAUAAGGGGAAAGAGCAAAAAGAAAAAAAAAAAAAAA